rnacentral:rRNA from 1 species
AUACGGAGGGGGCUAGCGUUGUUCGGAAUUACUGGGCGUAAAGCGCGCGUAGGCGGCUUAUCAAGUUAGGCGUGAAAGGCCUGGGCUCAACCCGGGAACUGCGCUUAAUACUGGUAGACUUGAGUCCGGGAGAGGGUAGUGGAAUUCCCAGUGUAGAGGUGAAAUUCGUAGAUAUUGGGAGGAACACCGGUGGCGAAGGCGGCCACCUGGACGGGUACUGACGCUGAGGCGCGAAAGCGUGGGGAGCAAACAGGAUUAGAAACCCCAGUAGUCC